AGAGUUUGAUCAUGGCUCAGAAUGUACGCUGGCGGCACGCCUAACACAUGCAAGUCGAGCGAGGUACUUGUACCUAGCGGCAGACGGGUGCGUAACAUGUGGGAAUCUGCCUUUUGGUUCGGAACAACAUGGGGAAACCUGUGCUAAUACCGGAUAAGUCCUUACGGAGAAAGAUUUAUCGCCGAAAGAUGAGCCCGCACUAGAUUAGCUUGUUGGUAAGGUAAAAGCUUACCAAGGCUACGAUCUAUAGCUGAUUUGAGAGGAUGAUCAGCCACACUGGGACUGAGACACGGCCCAGACUCCUACGGGAGGCAGCAGUGGGGAAUCUUGCACAAUGGAGGAAACUCUGAUGCAGCGAUGCCGCGUGAGUGAAGAAGGCCCUUGGGUUGUAAAGCUCUUUUGUCGGGAAAGAUAAUGACUGUACCCGAAGAAUAAGGUCCGGCUAACUUCGUGCCAGCAGCCGCGGUAAU
rnacentral:rRNA from 1 species